GGCAAGAUAAACAGCAAAAGAAAGCAUUCAGCCACGCGACCUUGCACUGCCAAUGGCUGACACGGCCACCGCCCCGCUGAUAACAAACCACAAAGCCAAGCCAGCGAAGGCGCCAUCGGUCGACGACACGAUCGAGGCGUACAUGGGUACCACCGGAACGGUGCAACUUCUUAAGGCCGUCCUGCUGGCCUUCGCGUGGGCCUUCGACGCGCAGCAGGUGUUCAUCUCAGUGUUCACCGACGCCGAGCCGAACUGGCACUGCACCGGCUCCGACGGGACGUGCUCGGACGCCGCGGCUUCGCCGUGCGCGCUCCCGGCUGGCGCGUGGGCGUGGGACCGCCCGCCCGUGACAUCGGUGGUCUCGGAGUGGUCACUCAAGUGCGCCGGCCCGAUCCUCGUCUCCCUCCCGGCGUCCUCCUUCUUCGCCGGCUGCCUCGCCGGCGGCUUUCUCCUCACCACACUCGCCGACUCGCUCCUGGGCCGCAGGAAGAUGCUGCUCGCGUCCAUAGUGUCCAUGUCCGUCGCCAGCGCGCUCACCGCCUUGUCGCCGAAUGUGUGGGCUUACUCGGCCCUGCGGUUCGUGUCCGGGUUUGCCAGGUCCAUGGUGGGCACGUGCACGAUGGUACUCUCCACGGAGGUAGUGGGGAAGAAGUGGCGCGAGACGGUGUGCGUGGCCGGGUUCUUCUGCUUCACCCUCGGCUUCCUCUCGCUCCCGGCGCUGGCCUACACGUUCCGGGACGCGUCGUGGCGGAACAUGUACCUAUGGACGUCCGUGUCUUCCCUCUGUUACUCCAUCCUCAUCUACUUCCUCAUCCAGGAGUCGCCACGGUGGCUGCUGGUGCGCGGCCGGAAGCAGGACGCCAUCGAGGCUCUGCAGCAGAUCGCGUCGCUCAACGGCAACAGCAUGACCUCCAGCUUCUCCAUGCUGCACGCGUGCACAAUGCAAGAGGACGCCGCAGGGUCGAGCGGCGGCGACAGCGUGUUCGCCACGCUACACUCGAUGUGGCAGCGCCCGUGGGCGCUCCGCAGACUGGCGGCGAUCAUGACGGUCAGCUUUGGCGUCGGCACGGUCUACUACGGCAUGCCACUCAACGUCGGCAACCUGGGCUCCAACCUGUACCUGAGCGUGAUGUACAACGCGCUGGCCGAGCUACCGUCCUCCAUCCUCUCGUGUCUCCUGAUGGGCACGAUCAACCGGCGGAGCUCGGUGAUGGGGCUCACCACGGUGGCGGGGCUGUGCAGCCUGGCGUGCAUCGUCAUCCCACAGGGCGCGGCGAGGAUGGCCGCCGAGCUGGUGUCCUUCUCCGCCACGUGCACCAUGCUCACUGUCAUACUGAUGUACUCAAUCGAGCUGUUCCCGACGUCCACUACCUCACGUGUCCGGAUUACCGGCACUUUCUUGCCAGCAGUUUACAAUCAAUGCCUACAAUGCUACUGAUUAGCGGCACUUUCUGCCGAAUGCCCUAGAUUACCACAUAAUUGGUGGCACUUUUAGGAGGUUGCCCUCAAUGUUUGAUUAUUACUGGCACUUAUCGAAGUGCCGGCAUUAUUUUCUAAAAAUUGAAGGGUCUAAAUGCAAAAACGAACAAAACAUCCCUGAAGGGUCUCAGCACAGUCGCACUCCUCUCCCCAACAUCCUCUCUCUCGCGUCCUCGAUGUGCCGCCGCCGUGCCGUCCGCCGCCGGCCGCGUCCGCCGCCUCUACUCACUGAGAGAACUUCGUCUUGUGCCCCUCCACUAGAUCCCUACUCGCGCCCCGCCGUUCCGCACCUGAGAGCGACGCCGCGGCUAACCCUAGCGGUGGUUCAGCACCGUCGCCGCCGCGGUUCCCGCGCCGCCACACCUCGUGCUUCUCCCCUACGACACCUGCGGCAUGCUUCUCGACCCUGCCCCCGUUCUCCUGCUCGGCUGCUCCUCCGUAUUUUUGCCGUGCGGCUUGGCGCUGACCGCGACGAGCCCUCACACAACGCCAUCCUCCCCAUCCCACGCAGGGGGCCUGCCCCGCCGUGGGCGCCCUCGAGGACCCCAACAUCGCCAGGGACCACGGCAAUCAAGGCCUCCUCAUCGACAACCAGCGGUUCGCAUCGAGCAUCGCCGACCAGACCACGCGCGUCGAGGCCGAGGUGCGUACCGUCGCGGGUGAGGGUGGAGCUCCAGCAGGUCCUUGCCGACAUGUGGGUGCUGGCUGCGCGUCCUCAACGAGCAGCUAGGGCGUACUCAGUCCGAGUAGGCCAAGGCUGACAACAUCUGUAUCCAAGGAUAUCGAGAAGGGCAGGUAACACUAUUUUUCAGGUAGUAACAUUAUGGUACACAACUCCAGAAAUUCUUCUUGGAGCGAGGCAAUAUUCCACAACAGUUGAUGUGUGGUCAGUGGGCUGUAUCUUUGCAGAAAUGGUGAAGCAAAAGCCACUGUUUCUAGGCGAUUCUGAGAUUGAUGAAUUAUUUAAGAUAUUCAGGAUAAAUUACAGGAACUGCUGGGAUUUGGAGUAGAUCUGCAUCUUCUUGUAGAGGAUCAUUGUCUUUUUCGGGUGCUGUACAAUUUAGGCAAACAAUAUUCCUCCUGGGCAUUGGGCUACGAGUAGGCUGUGAAGAGACACAUGGGAUAGAAGCCACAAGCAAAUGGAAGCCAGUAUGAUGUGUGAUUGUGUUCCAGAUCUGCUUGAUGAACCCUGUUGGUCAGAGAAGUAAGAUGGAAGCCAAUUAGAUGAACCAUGUUAGAUGAACCUUGUUGUGUAUUUUAUCUAAUGGUUUCAAACCAUGUUGUUCAUGAUGUGGAGAUGAACACUGUUGGUCAUGGAAGUUAAUUAGAUGCAUGGAUUGUGAAUCCUUGAAUGAUCAAAAUGUUGGUUUCAAACAUUGCUUGACUUCUUGAGUGUGA